rnacentral:rRNA from 1 species
GAUGAACGCUAGCUACAGGCUUAACACAUGCAAGUCGAGGGGAAACGGCAUUUAGUGCUUGCACCGAAUGGACGUCGACCGGCGCACGGGUGAGUAACGCGUAUCCAACCUACCCAUUACUGUGGGAUAACCUGCCGAAAGGCAGACUAAUACCGCAUAGUCUUCGAUGACGGCAUCAGAUUUGAAGUAAAGAUUUAUCGGUAAUGGAUGGGGAUGCGUCUGAUUAGCUUGUUGGCGGGGUAACGGCCCACCAAGGCAACGAUUAGUAGGGGUUCUGAGAGGAAGGUCCCCCACAUUGGAACUGAGACACGGUCCAAACUCCUACGGGAGGCAGCAGUGAGGAAUAUUGGUCAAUGGACGAGAGUCUGAACCAGCCAAGUAGCGUGCAGGAUGACGGCCCUAUGGGUUGUAAACUGCUUUUGUAUGGGGAUAAAGUCAAUCACGUGUGAUUGUUUGCAGGUACCAUACGAAU